rnacentral:rRNA from 1 species
AGUGGCGGACGGGUGAGUAAUGUCUGGGAAACUGCCUGAUGGAGGGGGAUAACUACUGGAAACGGUAGCUAAUACCGCAUAACGUCGCAAGACCAAAGAGGGGGACCUUCGGGCCUCUUGCCAUCGGAUGUGCCCAGAUGGGAUUAGCUUGUUGGUGGGGUAACGGCUCACCAAGGCGACGAUCCCUAGCUGGUCUGAGAGGAUGACCAGCCACACUGGAACUGAGACACGGUCCAGACUCCUACGGGAGGCAGCAGUGGGGAAUAUUGCACAAUGGGCGCAAGCCUGAUGCAGCCAUGCCGCGUGUAUGAAGAAGGCCUUCGGGUUGUAAAGUACUUUCAGCGGGGAGGAAGGGAGUAAAGUUAAUACCUUUGCUCAUUGACGUUACCCGCAGAAGAAGCACCGGCUAACUCCGUGCCAGCAGCCGCGGUAAUACGGAGGGUGCAAGCGUUAAUCGGAAUUACUGGGCGUAAAGCGCACGCAGGCGGUUUGUUAAGUCAGAUGUGAAAUCCCCGGGCUCAACCUGGGAACUGCAUCUGAUACUGGCAAGCUUGAGUCUCGUAGAGGGGGGGUAGAAUUUCCAGGUGUAGCGGUGAAAUGCGUAGAGAUCUGGGAGGAAUACCGGUGGCGAAGGCGGCCCCCCUGGACUAAGACUGACGCUCAGCGUGCGACAGCGCGGGGAGCAAAACAGGAUUAGAUAGCCCGGGGAGUUCCCCGCACUAGAAUGAC